GGAAUAUUGGUCAAUGGGCGAAAGCCUGAACCAGCAACGCCGCGUGCGCGAUGAAGGCCUUCGGGUCGUAAAGCGCUUUUGGGAGGGAUGAAAAUGACAGUACCUCCCGAAUAAGGAUCGGCUAACUACGUGCCAGCAGCCGCGGUAAGACGUAGGAUCCAAGCGUUAUCCGGAAUUACUGGGCGUAAAGGGCGUGUAGGAGGUUGGGCAAGUCGGCCAUGAAAGCUCCCGGCUCAACUGGGAGAGGCUGGUCGAUACUGCCUGGCUAGAGGGCAAGAGAGGGAGGUGGAAUUCCCGGUGUAGUGGUGAAAUGCGUAGAUAUCGGGAGGAACACCAGUGGCGAAGGCGGCCUCCUGGCUUGUACCUGACUCUGAAACGCGAAAGCAUGGGUAGCAAACAGGAUUAGAAACCCUGGUAGUCCAUGCCAUAAACGAUGUCAACUGGGUGUCGGCGAAGUAAAAUUUGUCGGUGCCGAAGCUAACGCGUUAAGUUGACCGCCUGAGGACUACGAUCGCAAGAUUAAAACUCAAAGGAAUUGACGG
rnacentral:rRNA from 1 species